GUGUCAGCAGCCGCGGUAAUACGGAGGGUGCGAGCGUUGUCCGGAAUCAUUGGGCGUAAAGGGCGCGUAGGUGGCCUGGUCAGUCCGUGGUGAAAGCGCGGGGCUCAACCCUGCGUCGGCCAUGGAUACUGCUAUGGCUUGAGCACUGUAGAGGCAGGCGGAAUUCCGGGUGUAGCGGUGGAAUGCGUAGAGAUCCGGAAGAACACCGGUGGCGAAGGCGGCCUGCUGGGCAGUGGCUGACACUGAGGCGCGACAGCGUGGGGAGCAAACAGGAUUAGAAACCCUGGUAGUCC
rnacentral:rRNA from 1 species